rnacentral:rRNA from 1 species
AUGAAACACUCCUACGGGAGGCAGCAGUGGGGAAUUUUGGACAAUGGGGGCAAGCCUGACGGAGCAACGCCGCGUGAGUGAAGAAGGUCUUCGGAUCGUAAAGCUCUGUUGACGGGGACGAACGUACGGAGUGCAAAUAGUGCUCUGCAAUGACGGUACCUGUCGAGGAAGCCACGGCUAACUACGUGCCAGCAGCCGCGGUAAUACGUAGGUGGCGAGCGUUGUCCGGAAUCAUUGGGCGUAAAGGGAGCGCAGGCGGGCAUGUAAGUCUUUCUUAAAAGUGCGGGGCUCAACCCCGUGAUGGGAAAGAAACUACAUGUCUUGAGUACAGGAGAGGAAAGCGGAAUUCCCAGUGUAGCGGUGAAAUGCGUAGAUAUUGGGAGGAGCACCAGUGGCGAAGGCGGCUUUCUGGACUGCAACUGACGCUGAGGCUCGAAAGCCAGGGGAGCGAACGGGAUUAGAUACCCCUGUAGUCCGAAGUUC